AGGAACAACUGCAGAGGAAGGAGGAAAACUAGAAGAACGUGGCACCCAGGAAGCAGAGGAAAGAGGCUGUGUCUAGGAGGCAUGGAGGUCUGAGGAAGUGCUUUUGGAUUCAGCAACAGGAGGGUCCUGGGGAACCCAGCAAGAGCCUAUUAGGUGGAGAGAAAAUGCAGAAAAUUCAGAAGAACACUAAGAAGUAAAAAGUGACUACCAUUUCCAUCCUAUUAUCUGGAGCAUUAUGAUCAAUCAUUCGGUGUAUUUCCUUCAAAAUUUUUGUCUAUGUAAAUUUAUGUAUUUAAAAAUAAAAUUAGGAUUAUACCAUG